AGAGAGUUGGCAGAAAGACUAAAUGCACUUAAUUUGAGAUUAAAUUUUUAAGGGUUUGAGUCCCUUACUCUCUU
rnacentral:tRNA from 1 species